rnacentral:rRNA from 1 species
CCUACGGGGGGCUGCAGUGGGGAAUAUUGGACAAUGGGGGAAACCCUGAUCCAGCAAUGCCGCGUGUGUGAAGAAGGCCUGCGGGUUGUAAAGCACUUUCGGUUGGGAAGAAAAGUUUGGCGCCAAUACCGCCGAACCUUGACGUUACUGACAGAAGAAGCACCGGCUAACUCUGUGCCAGCAGCCGCGGUAAUACAGAGGGUGCAAUGGGUGAUCGGGGUGACUAGGUGGACAGCCAAGGUAGGUGUGAAAUCCCCGGGCUUAACCUGGGAACUGCAGUCGAUACUGCAUGGCUAGAGUAUGGUAGAGGGAAGUGGAAUGUCCGGUGUAGCGGUGAAAUGCGUAGAUAUCGGAAGGAACACCAAUGGCGAAGGCAGCUUCCUGGACUAAUACUGACACUGAGGCACGAAAGCGUGGGUAGCAAACAGGAUUAGAUACCCUAGUAGUC